rnacentral:rRNA from 1 species
UGAGUAACACGUAUCCAACCUGCCGUCUACUCUUGGACAGCCUUCUGAAAGGAAGAUUAAUACAAGAUGGCAUCAUGAGUUCACAUGUUCACAUGAUUAAAGGUAUUCCGGUAGACGAUGGGGAUGCGUUCCAUUUGAUAGUAGGCGGGGUAACGGCCCACCUAGUCUUCGAUGGAUAGGGGUUCUGAGAGGAAGGUCCCCCACAUUGGAACUGAGACACGGUCCAA